rnacentral:rRNA from 1 species
UUCCCUUUGAGGGGUUUUUGCGCUGUGGCUUAUUUCGGACUGUGUUAUGCACCGUCCGGAUGUUUACUUUGAGAAAAUUAGAGUGCUCAAAGCAGGCUUUUGCCUUGAAUAGUUUAGCAUGGAAUAAUAAAGUAGGACUUUGGUUCUAUUUUGUUGGUUUUAGGUACCAAAGUAAUGGUUAAUAGGAGCAGUUGGGGGUAUUCGUAUUUAACUGUCAGAGGUGAAAUUCUUAGAUUUGUUAAAGACGAACUACUGCGAAAGCAUUUGCCAAGGAUGUUUCCAUUAAUCAAGAACGAAAGUUAGGGGAUCGAAGACGAUCAGAUACCGUCGUAGUCCUAACCAUAAACUAUGCCGACUAGAGAUUGGAGGUCGUCAGUUUUUACGACUCCUUCAGCACCUUGAGAG